AAGACUCAAGAGAAGCAUGAAAAGGAGGUAAAGAAGAGGAAAAGAGAUAUUUCUCUAUACUGCCACUUGUUUCUGAGGAGAUGGAAAAGGAGAAGAAAUUGGUUACUUCCCUCUGCUGUUACCUACUUUGAUUCAAUGGAUAGAGUUCUGGACCUGGAGUCAGGAAAAUCACUACAAGGAUCCAAGAUAUCUCCAGAGGCCUCGGG